CACGAGAACGCAGAGCUCGCCGACGAUGCUCUGGAGCGCGCACUGGACGCCGUCGUCGGGUUCUCGUCGUCGUUUUGACCGAACCGAACCACCCCAAGCCGAACACUUGCGCCACCAGGAUAGCCUCGACGUCCUCUUCGAAAGCCCUCAAGAACUCCAGCCAGUGCCGCAACGACGAGGGAGAUCGGCGUCUUCUUCCUCAAGUCCGGCCGCCGACCACCGUCGUUGAUUCCUUGAUCCCGGGUGAGCUUCGGCGCAAUUCCUCACUCGUGUAGCAUCUUUAGAUGAUCGUUGAGCCGUUCCACUCUUUUUCAUGACAGCUCGAAGUCCGGAUGGUGGUUGUUACCGUUGCCAUGCCGAUUUCCGCCGUGGGGAUAUCCUCUGCAUCAUCGUCACUAUCCAGGCCUACCCGUACCUCGUCCGAGAUUUGGUGAGCACCCUGCAGCCUAUGGAACAUACAUGCAUGCACCCAAUUAACCAAUAGAAGCACAUGCACCACCACCCGAAAACAUCCUCUACUCGGACUCGCCGCUGGCGCUACUCCGAUGUCCGCUAUCUGAGAAAUGCAUAGGAAUGGAAUCGCGAUAGCAUGCCCUUCAUUUUCUAUUUUGGUCGCAACCCCAACGGAGUCACCGUUUGUCGCCAACACCGGCGAGCAGAGGUGCCGCCCAUGGCUGCUCUGCUGCUUAUCGAAUGGAGAAGAAACAGGGACUUCAUUUUGAGAAUUUAAACAAAUAUAAGGUUCAUUAUGUAAUGUUUCCACUCAAUGACAUAUGGACCUAGGACUGCGGGUUGAUUUCCUGAAACCAUAGAGGCCUUUUUGCAUAUUGGCCUCAGACCGACAGGUUGACCCCAUGAGUUUAAAAUCUGAAAAUGUAAAAGAUAAUACUAAAAGCCUUUACUUUUAAACAGGAAAACACCUAAACUUGUAAAAUCCAUAUAAAAUCAAAUAUAACUCUUUUUGAGAUUAUUCAAAUUUCUGUGAACUCACCAAGUUAUGAAAUUUAAUGUUAUGGAAUAAAAACUUGCACUCACAGUACAAAUGUAGCCUCUAAAAUUUAUCUAAGAUAAAUCAUACAUAAAGCAUAUACAAACUUAUAAGAUGCAUACAAAAUUCAUUUCAACUCAUUUUAGAGAAAACUUAGUUUCUACAUAUCCACCAACAUGUUCUCUAAAAACAAAGUAAAAUAAAACAUAUACACACUUUACAUCAAAUGCCUCUAAAACUAUUAUCUUUAAAAUAACUAGUUUUGCAUAAGCUGAACUUUAGAAGUUCAUAUAAAAUUCAUCUUUGAUCCUUUUUGAGUAAACUCAAGUUAUGUAGAAUCAUAGAGUUGUGCACUUCAAUGUUAUAAAAUAAAAUGACAUAGUUACAGUAUAAUAAAAACCCCUAAGCAUUUAUGUAAGGAAUAAGCAACAUGGAGCAUACCUUAAAUUGUAAAAUUUGUAGAAAAAUCAUCUUUAGUCUAAAUGAAGUGAACCAAAUUUCUGUAGAACCAGCAAGUAAUAUUCUUCAACCUAGUAGAGUGAAUUAUGGAACCCUCUGUACAGACCAUAGCUCUAAACCUUAAUUUGGUAGAAUAAGUACUAAACCCAUAAUAGUGGUUAAACAAUACAUAUGAAUAUAUAUAUAUAUAUAUAUAUAUAUAUAUAUAUAUAUAUAUAUAUAUACAUGCAUGGUAGCUCCAAAUAAAACUUGUUAGGACUAGUGGAGCCAUAGUUCCAUCCCCAUCCACCAAAACUUAGAUGAACUUAGCUCAUAUAAAAAUUUCUAGGUUGAUAUAAUAUAUUGCUAGCAUAGACUAGAGCUUCCCUAGUUUAUAAAAAUAUGAACCAUGAUAAUAAAAACCAUAAGCUUAUGAACUAAGGUUAGAUUAGUUAACUAAAAUACUCAUUUUAUUCAUCACUACCUAGAUGAGGCAAGUUCUAGACCUAAACCUCUAAAGCCAUGAACCUAUACAACACUAUACACCUAUAACACAUUAUAACUUUUAAAAUACAUAAAGAAUUCACAUUAACUCCAAAAAUUAUGAAACCAAAUGUGUUGGUCUUAGAAAACAUAUAUAUUCACCCCAGCAAACACAAACUUAAUAAGAAUCACCUUACAACAGCAUUUCACAAUAGUACCUAAGUAAAUCCUAUACUAUACCAAGCAAACUUCUAAAAUUCAUAACUCCCAAAUAAAAAGAGAUAAAAUAGAAAUUCUUUCACUUAAAUUCAUCUUAGACCAGUACCUAUCCACUGUGCACAAAUCAUACAUUUUAGAGCAUUUUGGAUUUUUCGCAUAUUUCGGUGUUUAAUUGCAUAACGUGUACUUUAUAUAGAUAAUUGCUUAAUCGGUGAAGAAGUGAAUUAGGUGCUGACAUUUUCCAAAUUCAAGGCAAGUCCCACCUCCCUCUCUUUGAUCACAUUGAACCUAUGUUUUGGAGAUUAUUGAAAAUGUUUGCAAAUCUUGCAUGUCGAUUGUACACUAAUAAAUUAAAAUUUUGUUAAACUUGAUAGACAAACUCGUACUACUUGCAUUAUCAUCUUAACUGCACAUAUAUCCAUAUCCCUCAUUCCUAACCUUAGGAACAAUAUGACUAUACCACUUUAUAUAUGAGUUUUGGUGACACUAGGUUACUAUAAUGCUUAGCCAUGCUUAGAAUGGUCUUCCUUGUCAUUAUGGGCUCAUUACAAAUAUGAAAAUUGAUUUUUAAAUAAUCUUGACAGAACUUUAAUACUUGUGAUUUUGAUAAAUAAAAUGGUGGAAAACAUGGAUUUUAGGUUUAGGCCUUAAGUGGUGCACAUAUAGUGAUUAGUUGUGUACCGAUAGGGAGAGAGUGUGCCCAAACCGACCUAAGGACUUCACUCAAUGUCAGUUCAUUUCGUAUACAAUACAACCACAUAUGCUAGUAUGGGAUAGCCCAAGCUUAGUAAAUUAUUUAUGUUUUAGCCUUACAUUCUGGUAGGUCGGUGUGUAUGAGUUCGUAUAAUUCAGAGGAGCUUCCUAUUUACCCUGAAGUAGUAGUUUAGGUGACUAAGCGUGUCCAAUACAAUGGUAUUGUGCCACGUGGUGGGUUCCCAUUGUGUCCGCCACCACGGCGUUAAGUUUAAGGCGUGGGCCCGCCACUUAACAGUUCUAGGUCAUAUUUCCAGUAUGACUAGGAUGGAGGAACACGUAUCGUGCUGGUGUAAGGCUAAAUCAUGAAUUUUGGAAAAGCUUUGUUGUAGGUAAUAAAUCAGGUACUUAUGUAUCACAUGCCAUGCUCUUGAAUGAUUAUUAUUUCGCAUUAUGUGGGUAAAGUGUACAAACUCUGCAGAGUAAAAACUAAUCGAUUAGCUGUGCUCGCGGUCAUGAGCGGCGUGUGGAUAUGUAUUGAGUAUAGACUUACCUUCAAAUUGUGAUGAGAUUUGAGAAUCAUCUCCUUGCUGCCAUGGAUGGCAAUGAGGUGCAUAUUUACACAUGAUUAAUGUCUACUUUGAUGCUCAUAUGCUAAAAUACUAGCUUGCUGAAAUUUAUUUGAAAGCAAAUCUUAUUUGAAAGUGUUUUAUGCAAAUAAAACUUGCUUUAUGCUAAAAAGAACCAUAUUAUGCCUUCCUUGAUUAUAUGCCUUGCAAGUAGGGUGUUAGGUUUGUCUUGGUGCUUGCCAGUACAUUAUUUCUAAUAAUGUGCUGACUCUUUCUGUCGGAGAUAUGGGCCCGGGGGUAUAUGAAGUGAGGGGAAGUUACCUUCCCAUCCAGCCGUGUGGCUCUACAGCCUAACCCUACUCCCGCACCUCGCGAGUCACAGAAGCAGCCGGGGGGCCUCGGGAUGCCACGUCGUGCCCCUCUGGCUCGCCCGCUACCUCGCCCCGAGGCCCUCACCCAGCUGCCAUGUGGCGGGGGGAGCGAGCGAGAAGGGGACCCAAGCUGAACAGCCAUCAAUGCGCGGCGCCCCAACUGUCCCUCACCGCGUUUAAUGCGGUAAGGGUAGACGUGCGAUGCCGCCUAGCUGACCCACGUCAAUCGGACAAUCGGACGUGACCAGUCUAUGACCGGCCUGUUGCUGGUCACGUCCGAUUGAACGGGCGGCCAUGCCCCCACGUCGCCUCUAUAUCCGACGGAGUGGAGGUAGGUAUGACCCGUCCCAUCGGAGCGUCAUUCGGAGGAGGACCACCACAAUUCUUCACUCAUUUAUGAGGGAAUGACAGGGCUGUCCCCCGUGUCAGGCGGGGGGCAGUGCUGGGUCCCACUCAAGGACUGGCUGUUGCUUAGCUUUCGGGCGAAGGCACGGAUCGUGGCCCGGUCAUGGUAAAGUGGGUCCAAAUCCCAUGGAAGGGUAGGUAGAGGCAGUGCAUGUGGUAUCCCCUUGAACUAUAAAAGGAGGACAUUGCCCAUCGAGAAGGGGGACGACUCUUAGAAAACCUGAACUCUAGGAGAAGAAGGGCGAGAGAGCUCUCCGGAGUGAAGGAAUCCUUGUAACACUUAACCAUAAUCUCAAACACAGGAGUAGGGUAUUACGCUCCACAGCGGCCCGAACCUGUAUAAUCCGAUUGUGUGCAAGCUAGUUAGCAGCCUUAGGGGUGGAUACGUGAUUUCUAAGAGGCGAGCUUCUUCCCCCGGCCGAACCCACGAAAGGGGGGUCUUACGACCUCCCGCUAUCAAGGGACUUCCCUCGACAGCUGGCGCACCAGGUAGGGGGCAGUCGCGCGCUUUGAAGAGAAGUUGUUUUCUUCUGCCCCAAGUUUCCCUGGGCCCUUGACGAUCAUGGUCGAGGUCCUGGAGGUGGAGGAGGCGGUGGCGUUUACCCCCACCCCGUCCGGGAGUGCACGGGGUGGGGAUUCUAGUGGGAGCCGCGGCCCUCGUCACCGUCGCCGUGACUCCCCAACUCCUCCCAGAUGCGAACCCUCGCGGAGGGAGGAUCCCACCCUUUCGGGUGGUUCGGCCCUCUCUCCACCCCGGGCGGAGGGAGGCCACGACGCGUUGGGGCACGACGCCGCCUCACUUACGGCGAUGGCGGUUCGCCCCGAGGCGCGCUUCAGGCAGCGGGUGCCUUUCUGCGGCAUCCCCCCGUGAACUCGGAGCCGGAGACCCCUGUUCAGCGCUGGCUGGACGACGUGGCCAACUUGGUCACCACUGCCCAGCGGCAGUUGGCCGCGGGCGGCCGACCCGCCACCACCAGUACGUCGCGUACCCCCGUUACCCUCUCCUCGUCGGCAAGGAGGAGGGCCCGUCGGUUGGCCACUGCCUCAAGGCGAUCCACGGCUCCAGCAUCGUCGGUGGCCUCGGGAAGCCGGAGGCGUCAUGACGGUCUCUACGGGGAGCAGGACGCUCGGAUCAACAUCGACCGACGCAGGGACGAGCGCCGAGCUGCCCGCAUGGGGGAAGGCACCUCCUCAUCUGGAGUGCCACGUUCCUCCUUGAAGGUGCACUUAAACCCCCUAGUGGGUUUUGGUGAUUAAUGACAAGGUGGUUAAAGGGGACUAACGUGUUUAUCAAGUUUAUUCACAGGAGUUUAGUCCCAAAGCAAGUUGUGAUGGCUAAGAAUGCAAGGAGACCCCCCCAAUUUGAAUGUUCCUAAGUGCGAAAAACACCGAAGGUUAUUAGACUAGGUUUUUCUCUUUCGAAAUUGAGUUUAGGAAAAACCAUACUAUUAAGAGGGGUUUCAAGUGUGGUUCUAGGGUAUACAAAGUGCUCUUAGUCAUAUCCAUGAGUCAAAAUAUUUUUGGAAUCUUUUUGAAAAAUGAUUUUUCUCCCCGGGACAGAGAGGGCUACCCGGAGGUUCUGGCCGGAACUUCCGGGCGCCAUUUCAAAAGCAAAAAUUUCCUAAGUGCUGCCCGAAACCUCCUGGCAGGUUUCCAGUUCAAACUUGUGAGUAACGGCUAGAUGACAUCACCUAGCCGUUAUAUAUAUAUGGAUUUCGUCCCCAGGUCACCCUUUGGCCAUUCCACUUCAGUUCUUUCAUGUUCUAGGGUUUUCUAGCCACUCCCAAGCUUCCUUUGCUUCCUCCACUCAAAUCUAGAGCCUAUCUUGUGAGAUUAAGAGAUUAGAUGAGAGUGUAGGAGUGCUUUGGAGAUGGCUUGAAGAUUAGGUUUGAUUGAGCACUUUGGAUACCUUGUGGGCUGUCACUUGGGCUUAUUACUCUUGGAGAUCUUCUCCUAGACGGUUAGGCAGCGCCGAUCCGAGGCUUCACCUCCACCCAGCUGCAUCGCCUCCUCCCCAUUACCACUCCUGAGCCAAGCAAACCGAGGGGGAGAGCUCCGGCUUUUCUUUUUCAUCUCGACCUUGCCGCCGGCCGUGAAGACGACGGCCGUCGCCAUCGCCAUUGUACCGUGGUCGUCUCCUCUCUUCUACCGUUCCAUACUCUCCUCCUCAUGCAGAUCAUCUUCUAUUUUGACACCACGUCAUUUCAUCCAGUGCAGCCACGAGAACGCAGAGCUCGCCGACGAUGCUCUGGAGCGCGCACUGGACGCCGUCGUCGGGUUCUCGUCGUCGUUUUGACCGAACCGAACCACCCCAAGCCGAACUCUUGCGCCACCAGGAUAGCCUCGACGUCCUCUUCGAAAGCCCUCAAGAACUCCAGCCAGUGCCGCAACAACGAGGGAGAUCGGCGUCUUCUUCCUCAAGUCCGGCCGCCGACCACCGUCGUUGAUUCCUUGAUCCCGGGUGAGCUUCGGCGCAAUUCCUCACUCGUGUAGCAUCUUUAGAUGAUCGUUGAGCCGUUCCACUCUUUUUCAUGACAGCUCGAAGUCCGGAUGGUGGUUGUUACCGUUGCCAUGCCGAUUUCCGCCGUGGGGAUAUCCUCUGCAUCAUCGUCACUAUCCAGGCCUACCCGUACCUCGUCCGAGAUUUGGUGAGCACCCUGCAGCCUAUGGAACAUACAUGCAUGCACCCAAUUAACCAAUAGAAGCACAUGCACCACCACCCGAAAACAUCCUCUACUCGGACUCGCCGCUGGCGCUACUCCGAUGUCCGCUAUCUGAGAAAUGCAUAGGAAUGGAAUCGCGAUAGCAUGCCCUUCAUUUUCUAUUUUGGUCGCAACCCCAACGGAGUCACCGUUUGUCGCCAACACCGGCGAGCAGAGGUGCCGCCCAUGGCUGCUCUGCUGCUUAUCGAAUGGAGAAGAAACAGGGACUUCAUUUUGAGAAUUUAAACAAAUAUAAGGUUCAUUAUGUAAUGUUUCCACUCAAUGACAUAUGGACCUAGGACUGCGGGUUGAUUUCCUGAAACCAUAGAGGCCUUUUUGCAUAUUGGCCUCAGACCGACAGGUUGACCCCAUGAGUUUAAAAUCUGAAAAUGUAAAAGAUAAUACUAAAAGCCUUUACUUUUAAACAGGAAAACACCUAAACUUGUAAAAUCCAUAUAAAAUCAAAUAUAACUCUUUUUGAGAUUAUUCAAAUUUCUGUGAACUCACCAAGUUAUGAAAUUUAAUGUUAUGGAAUAAAAACUUGCACUCACAGUACAAAUGUAGCCUCUAAAAUUUAUCUAAGAUAAAUCAUACAUAAAGCAUAUACAAACUUAUAAGAUGCAUACAAAAUUCAUUUCAACUCAUUUUAGAGAAAACUUAGUUUCUACAUAUCCACCAACAUGUUCUCUAAAAACAAAGUAAAAUAAAACAUAUACACACUUUACAUCAAAUGCCUCUAAAACUAUUAUCUUUAAAAUAACUAGUUUUGCAUAAGCUGAACUUUAGAAGUUCAUAUAAAAUUCAUCUUUGAUCCUUUUUGAGUAAACUCAAGUUAUGUAGAAUCAUAGAGUUGUGCACUUCAAUGUUAUAAAAUAAAAUGACAUAGUUACAGUAUAAUAAAAACCCCUAAGCAUUUAUGUAAGGAAUAAGCAACAUGGAGCAUACCUUAAAUUGUAAAAUUUGUAGAAAAAUCAUCUUUAGUCUAAAUGAAGUGAACCAAAUUUCUGUAGAACCAGCAAGUAAUAUUCUUCAACCUAGUAGAGUGAAUUAUGGAACCCUCUGUACAGACCAUAGCUCUAAACCUUAAUUUGGUAGAAUAAGUACUAAACCCAUAAUACCAUAAUAGUGGUUAAACAAUACAUAUGAAUAUAUAUAUAUAUAUAUAUACAUGCAUGGUAGCUCCAAAUAAAACUUGUUAGGACUAGUGGAGCCAUAGUUCCAUCCCCAUCCACCAAAACUUAGAUGAACUUAGCUCAUAUAAAAAUUUCUAGGUUGAUAUAAUAUAUUGCUAGCAUAGACUAGAGCUUCCCUAGUUUAUAAAAGUAUGAACCAUGAUAAUAAAAACCAUAAGCUUAUGAACUAAGGUUAGAUUAGUUAACUAAAAUACUCAUUUUAUUCAUCACUACCUAGAUGAGGCAAGUUCUAGACCUAAACCUCUAAAGCCAUGAACCUUCUCCUAGACGGUUAGGUAUCGCCUCGGUUUUGGAGAUGGCUUGAAGAUUAGGUUUGAUUGAGCACUUUGGAUAUCUUGUGGGCUGUCACUUGGGCUUAUUACUCUUGGAGAUCUUCUCCUAGACGGUUAGGUAUCGCCCGUGAGCUCUCAAAGAUCUUGUGGAUGUCCCGGGAAAGUUUGUGAAGGCUUUCGUCACCUCCGCAAGGAAACGAGGUAAGUGAGUAAAGAUUCUUGUGCUGAGUUUCAAGAGGUUGUCCUUGGUAGCGCAACUUGCACUUGUGGUCUUUUCUAGAAGGAAUUGUAAGUUGGAUCUUGGUGGUCACUCAAUUCUAGAAAACGACCUAGAAGUGUUGAGUUGAAGGCUGUGGACUUCUUCUGAGAUCUUUGCAUAAGUGAGGUAAGGGGUUAAUUGAGACCCGGCUCUUUAAGCACCUCAACGGAGAGUAGGAUCCGUGUGAUCCGAACUUCUGGAAAAAAUCUCCUUUGUCUCUCUUGUGCAUGAUCUGUGUUUGAAUUGGCUGGUAUCUUGUGUUUUUCAUCUUGUGCAACCCUGUGCCUGAUUUUCCCUAGCUAGGACCUAUUUUUCUUCUAUUAUUUUCGUUUAUCUCUGUUGCCCGGAAGUUCCUGGCUCAAGAACUCUGGAAGUUCCGAGCUGCUCAUCACUGCUAGGAAGUUCCGGUGUUUAUCACUAGAAGGUUCCCGGCCCUGUCAAUUUAACCGCUGCGAUUGUUGAGAAAAUUUCAGGAAAGCCUAUUCACCCCCCCUCUAGGCUACAUCUCUGCACGUUCAAUUGGUAUUAGAGCAUAGUGCUCUUAAUUCAAGCUUCACCGCUUUGAGUGUUCCACGAUGUCGGACUUAGGGGGAAAGUACGGGGAAAUUGGUAAUGAAGAUGGAGCGAGCAGCAAGGGAACUCCAUCACCCGAGGGAGCUACUAUACCUUUUGAUUAUAGCAAACUGCAAACUUACCAUUCCUCCUCACAACUUCGUCUCCGUGCCUUCCGGGCGUGCUCCUCAAUUUGAUGGGACACAUUAAGCCGCUUGGAAGCACAAGAUGAAGUUGCAUCUAAUCUCUUUGCAUCCAAGUAUUUGGAAAGUUGUUUGUACAAGUAUUGACGUACCUCAUGAAGACAUGGAGCUCACUUCGGAGCAAGAACAACUCAUCCACCGCAAUGCUCAAGCUUCCAAUGCAAUUCUCUCCGCCUUGAGUCCGGAAGAGUUCAACAAGGUUGAUGGACUAGAGGAGGCCAAGGAGAUAUGGGGUACUUUGCAAUUGGCUCAUGAGGGAUCACCCGCCGUUCGUGAUGUCAAGAUUGAAUUAUUGAAAGGAAGGCUUGGAAGAUUUGUGAUGGAUGACAAGGAGAUACCACAAGAGAUGUAUGAUAGGAUGAUGAUUCUUGUCAACAAGAUUAAAGGACUUGGGAGUGAGGACAUGACAAAUCACUUUGUUGUCAAGAGACUUCUUCGUGCUUUUGGUCCAAGAAAUCCCACUCUUGUAUCAAUGAUACGGGAAAGGAAAGACUUCAAGAGGCUCACCCCAAGUGACAUUCUUGGAAGAAUUGUGUCUCAUGAGAUGCAAGAAGAGAAAGCUCGUGAAGUGAGGUAAAUGGUGAAGAAUGCUGUCAUGAUCAAAAAUCAAGAAGUUGCUUUGAAGGCAAAACAAGAAGAAGAGUCAAGUUGUGAAGAAAGUGAAGAUGAAGAAAUGGCUUUUAUUGUCAAGAGAUUCAAGCACUUUCUUCGCAAGAGUGGCUAUGGCAAAGGGAGGAAGGAUGAUGACAAGGGAAAGAGGCAAUCAAAGAGAGCGUGCUUCAAUUGUGGCGAAUAUGGCCACUUUAUUGCCGAUUGUCCCAAGUCAAAUGAAGCUAAGGCUAAGGGAGGCAAGAAGAAGCCAGAGCGUGCUCAUGUGGCGGAGGCACACAUGGCGGAAGUUUGGUACUCCGAAGAUGAAGAAGAUCUCGAGGUCAAGCCCAAGCCCAAGUCAAAAGACAAGGUUGAAGGAGAAGGUGGUGUUGCUACCGUCGCCUUCAAGUCAUCUUCUUCAAGCAAGGAGCGUCUCUUCAACAACUUGAGUGAUGACGACGACGACUCCUACCACUACUCUUGCUUCAUGGCCCAAGGCCGCAAGGUGAUGACUCAAAAGCCCACUCAAACUUCUCUUGAUGUUGAUUCUAGUGAUAAGGAAAGUGAUAAUGAAUUAGAUGAUGUGCUUAAGAGUUUUAGCAAACCCGCUAUGCAACAUUUGGCUAAGUUAAUGAGAGCUUUGGAUAGUAAAGAACAAUUACUCGAAAGGCAAGAAGAAUUGCUUAUUCUUGAGAAGAAAAGAAACCUUGCCUUAGGGGAGAGCUUAGCUAAAGAAUGUGCUAAAAAUGAACACCUUACUAAUGAGUUUAAUUUGGCUAAUGGUUCUUUAGCUAGCAUUAGAAAUGUCAAUGAAACUCUUCAAGAGAAAUUUGCUAGUUUAGAAAAAAGUCAUAAAGAUCUUGAAGUUCAAUUUGACACUCUUUGGAAUAGCACUUCUCAACCAAAUGUGGUUUCCAAUUCUUCUAACCCUUCUACUAGCAAUGGUUGUGCUAGGUGUUACAAUAUUGAUUUGAACUCUUAUGCUACUAGUGUUGAUGCUAUGCAAGCUCUUAAGAAAGAGAAUGAAAGGUUGGGCACUUUGGUGAAAUAUGGGUGCAUGAAGACAUACCAUUCAAAAGAUGCCCUUUACAGGACCAUCACCGCUCAUCCUAACAAGGAUGGACACGAGCUCGGGUUUUCGGGUGGAAGUCCUGUGUCUAAGCGUGUGAUGAUAAAUGGGAAAGAAUGCUUGAUGUUUGUGAGAGAAGGUAAAGCUCCACAAGCAAGUGAGGUGACUAGUCUUGUGAGCAGCCAGGGACCCGGAACAUCCGGACAAACCGGGCGAAACUUCCAGGUGGGAGUCUCUGUCUCUCAAAAAUUCCCACCAGGAAGUUCCGACCAGUUUACCAGGAAGUUCCGGGCCAAUGGCUGUGCACAAGACAUGACCGGAAGUUCCGGGCAUAAUGUCAGGAGGUUCCGUCCAGAUGGUCUUUACUAUGAUUCAUAUGUAAUUUCCAAAAAUUCAGAGGGCAAAGUGGUUGCUUAUUUUAAUGGGAAUUACAAUGAUGAGUACCGCACUUGUGUGUGGGUGCCAAAGGCUUUGGUGACUAACAUCAAGGGACCCAAACUUAGACAAGUUUGGGUUCCUAAAUCCCAAGCUUGAUUUCUUUUGUAGGCAUACUCCUCUGGUGGUUCAAGUUGGGUUGUGGACAGUGGUUGCACCAAUCAUAUGACUGGAGAGAGGAGUAUGUUUACAAGUCUUGAUGAGGAGAACGGAACUCGUGAGAAUAUUGUGUUUGGAGAUAAUGGUAAAGGAAAGGUAAUUGGUCUAGGUAAAAUUGCCAUCUCCAAUAAUCAAUCUCUCUCUAAUGUUCUUCUUGUCAAUUCAUUAAGCUACAAUUUAUUAUCCAUUUCUCAAUUAUGUAAGUUGGGUUACAAUUGCUUGUUUACCGAUAAGGAUGUGACCGUCUUUAGAAGGGAUGACUCCUCCAUAGCAUUCAAAGGCAAGUUAAAGGGUGAUCUCUAUCUUGUCGAUUUCGAUGUGGAUAGAGUGAAUCCGGAAGCUUGUUUGAUUGCUAAAUCCUCCAUGGGUUGGCAAUGGCAUCGUAGACUAGCCCAUGUUGGAAUGCAGAAUUUGGCAACUUUUCUAAAGGGGGAACACAUCUUCGGGCUCACUAAUGUCACAUUUGAGAAAGAUCGUGUGUGUAGUGCUUGCCAAGUCGGGAAACAAGUUGGGAAUCCAUAUCCUAUCAAGAACAUCAUGACUACAACACACCCUCUUGAGCUUCUACAUAUGGAUUUAUUUGGGCCCAUUGCUUACAUAAGUAUUGGAGGUAACAAGUAUGGUUUUGUUAUUGUUGAUGACUUUUCCCGCUUCACUUGGGUGUAUUUUCUCCAUGAUAAGAGUGAGGCUCAAGAUGUCUUCAAGCACUUCGCCAAGCAAGCCCAAAACCUCUAUGAUCUCACCAUCAAGAGGGUGUGAAGUGACAAUUUAGGAGAAUUCAAGAACACUCAAGUGGAGGAUUUCCUUGAUCAAGAGGGAAUCAAGCACGAGUUCUCCACCCCCUAUGAUCCUCCUCAAAAUGGCAUCGUUGAGAGGAAGAACCGAACUCUUAUUGAAGCCGCAAGAGCAAUGCUUGAUGGGUACAAGACUUCGGAUAUCUUUUGGGCAGAGGCCGUGAGUACCGCAUGUCAUGCCAUCAACCGCUUGUACCUCCACAAGAUCCUAAAGAAAACUUCAUAUGAGCUCUUGAGUGGUAAGAAGCCUAAUGUUUCAUAUUUUCAUGUCUUUGGGAGCAAAUGUUUUAUUUUAAGUAAGAGGCCUCGCUCAUCUAAGUUGUCACCUAAGGUGGAUGAGGGAUUCUUACUUGGCUAUGAAUCAAAUGCACAUGCCUAUCGUGUCUUCAACAAAACCUCCGGUAUUGUUGAAGUCACUAGGGAUAUGACAUUUGAUGAAUCUAAUGGCUCCCAACGAGAGCAAGUUGUUGUACAUGUUGUAGGGGAUGUGGAUCCAAGUCAAGCUAUAGGUACUAAGGCUAUUGGAGACAUACGAGCAGUCGAGUCGCAGGAUGACCAAGAAGAUAGGGAUCAACCUCCGUCAUCGACAUCCAAUAGCCCUACAAGUGCUGUGUCUACUGAGCCGGAAGUUCCAGGUCCUAUUGACCGAAACCUCCGGAGAUCUCCAGGCCCGGAAGUUUUGGGUUCUACAGUCCGGAACCUCCGGACCAGUGGCAGUGAAGACGUGCCAACGGCACAAGUGGAUGGGAUCAAUGCUGAGGGCACUUUAGAGCAUUCUGAUCAGGCUCAGGUCCUCCCAGUGCACCAUCCAAGGAUACAUCACACUGUCCAAAGAGAUCAUCUCGUUGACAACAUACUUGGUGACAUAAGAAAAGGGGUAACUACUCGCUCUCGUGUCGCAAGUUUUUGUCAACACUUCUCGUUUGUCUCUUCUUUGGAACCAACCAGGGUGGAAGAUGCGCUUGGUGAUCCUGAUUAGGUGAUGGCUAUGCAAGAGGAGUUGAAUAACUUCACUCGCAAUCAAGUGUGGACUUUGGUGGAGAGAUCCAAGUAAAAUGUCAUCGGCACCAAGUGGAUCUUUCGCAACAAGCAAGAUGAACAUGGGGUGGUUGUAAGGAACAAAGCCCGGUUAGUUGCGCAAGGGUUCACCCAAGUCGAGGGUCUCGAUUUUGUUGAAACCUUCGCACCUGUAGCUCGCCUUGAGUCAAUUAGAAUUCUUUUAGCCUAUUGCCACUCACCAUGAUUUCAGGUUAUUCCAAAUGGAUGUCAAGAGUGCCUUUCUCAAUGGACCUAUCUCGGAGUUGGUCCAUGUGGAGCAACCACCGGGGUUCGAGGAUCCAAAAUUGCCAAAUCAUGUGUACAAGCUCCACAAGGCGCUCUACGGGCUCAAACAAGCCUCUAGAGCUUGGUAUGAAUGUCUCCGAGAUUUUCUUUUGAAAAAUAAUUUUGAAAUUGGAAAGGCGGAUACUACUCUCUUCAAUAAAAAAUUUAAGAGUGAUUUAUUCAUAUGCCAAAUUUAUGUCGAUGACAUAAUAUUUGGUUCCACUAAUGCUUCUUUUUUGAAGAAUUUAGUAGUAUCAUGACUAAAAAGUUCGAGAUGUCUAUGAUGGGCGAGUUGACCUUCUUCCUCGGGCUACAAGUGAAGCAAGCACAAGAGGGCACUUUUAUCUCUCAAACCAAGUACGUGAAGGACAUUCUCAAGAAGUUUGGGAUGGAAGAUGCCAAACCCAUCAAGACUCCUAUGCCUACCAAUGGCCACCUAGACCUUGACGAUAAUGGUAAAUGUGUGGACCAAAAGGUAUAUCGCUCCAUGAUAGGAUCCUUGCUUUACUUAUGUGCAUCUCGUCCCGAUAUCAUGCUUAGUGUUUGCAUGUGUGCUCGCUUUCAAGCGGAACCUAAAGAGUGCCAUUUGAUUGCUGUCAAGAGAAUUAUAAGAUAUUUAGUUCAUACUCCUGAUCUUGGCUUGUGGUAUCCUAAGGGUUGUGACUUUGAGCUUUUGGGCUAUUCCGAUUCAGAUUACGCCGGGUGUAAGGUUGAUAGAAAAAGCACAACCGGGACUUGUCAAUUUCUUGGGCGUUCCCUUGUUUCUUGGUCCUCCAAGAAGCAAAAUUCCAUUGCAUUAUCCACCGCCAAGCCGAAUAUGUCGCCGCCGGUUCUUGUUGUGCCCAACUCCUUUGGAUGAAACAAACUCUAAAAGACUUUGGCUACAACUUCACCAAGAUCCCACUCCUAUGUGACAAUGAGAGUUCCAUCAAAAUAGCCAAUAAUCCCGUUCAACACUCUUAAUGAGGCAAACCAGGAUGAUCUUCGCCGCGACGAUCUCGAUUAUCUUGAAGAACGGAGAAGGCCUGCGGCCCUGCGUGCUGCGCGCUACCAACAAAGCCUGCGGCGCUACCAUCAGCGCCACGUCCGGGCCCGAUCACUGUAAGUUGGCGACCUCGUCCUACGCCGCGUGCAAUCGCGUCUAGGGCUGAGCAAGCUCUCGCCAAUGUGGGAAGGGCCAUACAAAGUGAUCGGCGUUCCCCGGCCAGGCUCCGUUCGACUAACCACGGAGGACGGCACAGAGUUGCCUAACCCCUGGAAUAUCGAACACCUCCGUCGCUUCUAUCCAUAGCGUCGAGAUUUUUUGCUUUCCAGGCGCUCGGGCCAACCCCCGCACAACCACUCGGCUUGUGCGAGCUUGGCCGGGGGCUACCACUGGGUAUCCUUUUCCCUUUACAAGCAAUGAAUUUUUUCUAUUUAGUGUGAAGCCCGUUAUCCUCACUCUUUCCUCUGGCUUGUCCUGGUUCAAACGACAGUUCGCACUUACUCCGAACCCUAAGUGCCGUGGGGCGACCUGCAAACCACCGAAAGGGAGCCCAAACGCGGGCCGUGCCCCGGGUUGCGCCAAACCCCGGGGGCUCGGAGGGGCCUACACACGGCCGUCCCCGACCCCCGGUCGUCGUAGCCUCGGUCUGGCCAGUCCCGCUGGGUGGCUCCCUCGAGGCGACAGUCUUGCCCUUCACCACUUAGGUACCACGGACUGAGCGCGGAUUUACCUUUUCGCUAGAAUAAGCCCGAGGGGGGAGGAUGGGGUAAAAGCGUCAUUUCAAUCACAGGCAGAUUAAUUAUAUACUUUUGCUCUUGUUUUUUCUUCUUUCUGUGCCGCAGGCAUUCAAUGAAAAAAGCAAUGGGGUAAAAAGUGCGAAAAGGAAGUUUUAAUUGCGGACAAGACAAGACGGCACGAUGGCCUAAAUACAGGAAGUGUCCGCUGUAGGCACAGAACAAAAGGAAAUUGAAAGCGCGGGUAAUCACGGAGUGCCCAAGCCCCCGAGGCCGGCGCCGCUAACGACGUCGUCCCAGUCCUCGCCGACGACGUCGUCAUCUUCGUCCCCGCUCCCGCUCUCCUCGUCCGAGGCAAGCCCGAAGGUGAACCGGGGGGCCAACCCCUCGAAGUUAUAGACGAUCGCGUCGGCCGCCUCCCGGACUUGCUCCCGAGCCCUUGCCUCGGUCCCCGGUGGGAAAUCCUCGAGUGCGCGCCAUGGGACGAAGUCGGGGUCGCUCGCGUGGUGGCUCGCGAGGACUAGUUCCACCGCGGCCCGCGCCAAAGAAGCCGACGACAAUUUCACGGUCUCGCUGACCUCCUCCUCCAGCCUCUCCAGAUCCGCCGCCAGACCGUCCAGCCGGAACGCGAGUGCCGGCUGUGUGGGCGGAAGCUUACUAUCCCGGCGCACGGAGAUGCCGACUCGGCGCCCCGCACGCUCCAGCCGGUCGACGGCGUCGGAGAGCUGCCCGGGUCCGAUCCCGUUGGUGAGGCGGAGGACCGCAAUCUCCCCAGCCUGAUCUUGCACCAAGCGCUCUAGGUCGGCGAGAGCUCUCUGAGCCGUGGCAAGCUGGCUCACCAACUCCGCGCCGCCGGCUUGCCCGCCCGCCGCCAGGUCCUUCUCCCGGGCCUCCAGCUCAGAAGCCCUCACCGCUAUCGCCGUGCGCUCGGUGCGAGCACUCUCCAAAUGCCGAGCCUCGCGCCCGGCAAUGGCCUCCUCGCGUUUCGCGAGUUGCUCGCCCAGCCGGCACAAGGCCACCUCACGGCGGUUCACCUCGGCUUCGCGCUCGGCGAGUGCGACGUCCCGUUCCUGGCACGCCUCUUCCCGGAGCCGUAGCUCCUCCGCGUGGCGGUCCGCUGAAGCUGUCGCGGUGAGGGUGAUCCGGUCACGCUCGGCUACGGCCUCUUCACGAAGGCGAAGGGAGACCUCCACCUCCACCGCCGUUCUCUCGUGGGCGGCCAAGGUGGACUCCCGCUGAUCUAGCAGACGCUCUCGGUCCUCCAGCGCCUAAGCCUGUCUCUCCAGCUUCUGGGCUCGCUGCGCCUGCUCCUGGCCGCGCACGUUUUGCUCGCGCUGGAUCCGGUCGAGGACCUCGAUUCGCCAGCGAAUCGUUGUCUCAAACUCCUGCGCGGAGCGGGCACGCUCAUCCAAGGCCCUGCGUUCAGCCUUGAGCGCCGCCGUCCGGGCCCACAGCGAGGCGUCGGCCUCCGAUACCCGCCGCUCCUGGGCAGCAGCUGCGUCGAGGAUACCGCGGGCGUCCUUGAUCCUCUUUGCCCGGUCCUCGGCAUGGGCCUCAUGCUGUAGGCGGAUGUCGCCCAGUGCUUCAUCCAGGACGCUUGAGGCAAUCAGCGCCGCCUGCCGCUCUUCCUCCGUCUCCCGCAUGACAGAGUCCAGCGUCUCCUCGCGCGCUUGGAUUUCGGCUAGUUGGGCUUGACGCAUUUUGCGUCCCACCCUCACCAUGUCGUCAACGGCGCGGCGCCCCUCGUCAACUUGCACGCGGUCCGCAGCGAGUUGUGCCCACUCUGCCUCCAGGGCUGCUCGCUCUUCCACCAGGGCUUGAACAUGGGCAUUGAGCCCCUCCCGUACGGUGGAACCGGCGGCGGCGAGCACCUGCAGGAGCGGCUCCAUACUUGCCGGAGUCGGAGAAGAAAAAGUCGCGGUCCGCCCCCGAGACGACGGAGUGCUGCUGGAUCCCCCGCGAGACUGGGGCUGCCCUCGGCCCCCUUCUGCGCGACCAGCCCCGAGGGCGCCCCAAGUGCAAGGGGGAGCGGCUGUCCCUCUCGCCCCCCGCCUCGAGUCCUCGGGUAGAUUCGGCCUCGGCCUCGGGCUCGGCCCCGCCCCUAGUUUCGGUCUCGACCUUGAGCCUAGGGCCGCCUCCGGUCGCGGCCUCCGAGCCGCAACCUCCCUCACCCCACGAUCCCGGGUGGCGCUCCGCAUGAACCCUGGUCUCGGAGCCACCUCCGGGAGGGACGUCACCGCCGCUAUCGCCCGCAACGGGUCGAGCCCCAGCUAGGGUUAGCUCGGGGUCGGACCCGGUAUGCGGAGUCCAGGCCCAGCACCCGCCAAAUCACCAUCUUCGCGUCCUCCUCCCCCAGUCCCAACACUCAACCACAUGCAUGCGCAUGGGGUCGUUGGGACUAGUGUACACCCACGCGCCACGGGAUCGAUCCUGGAGUGGUGCGAUGCAGUGACGGAAAUAGUCACCAAAGACCAUCGCCCCUGUGAGGCCCAGGCUUCGCAGGCCCCUAAGGCGAUCCCACACUGCGUCGUACUCCUCGCCCAGUUCCGAAACCGCCAGCCAUGCGGCGGAUCUUUCGGGAGGACCGGCGGGAAGCCGAAGUCGCGGGUGGUCCGGCAACGCGGUGUAGAGCCAGUCCUUCUUCCAGUCCUCCCAUUUCUUGCGGAGAUGACUCUCGAUGUAUUGCCCCGCCGUGCCUGGCCGGGGCUGGAAGUAACAUCCCCCUACCACCGCACCUUGCAGCAGCUGCGGGAUGAAGAAAGACUGGAACAGCCGCAUCGUCGGCCGCACCCCGAUGAACAUCUCGCACAGAUGCGUGAAGAUGGCCAGCGUCAUCAUGGCAUUGGGUGCGAGAUGCAAGGCAUGGAUUUCAUGGAAGUCCAAAACCUCAUGGAAGAAUCCGGAUAACGGCGGAAUCAACCCCGCCAUAGCGACGGACAAGAGGUGCACGGAUCGCUCCGGAUACCGCGGCCGUGGCCGCGACUCCCCCGCCCUCGCGACGGCGUCUUCCGGCAUAAUCUUGCGGGGGAGGCUAAGGUGCCUAUCCACCAUAAUGCGUGAUGCCGGGAGCACUGUGUCACCAGUGUCUUGAGCCAUGAUGGCCGGCGGAGAAGCGGCGGAGGGCUUGGCGUGCGGAAUAGUGUGAAGCGGUGAGAAUGUUAGGGCUAAAGGAGCGAGAAGACGAGUGGGCGGUUGGCGAAAGGAAGGAGGCAAAGUCCCUGCCUCUGUAUCCUUUUAUCCUCGCCUCACCCACGCUCACCUCCUCGUUUCACGCCCUCACGGUUGCCCCCACGAUUCUCGCGCCUGCGGUUGUCUCUUCGUUUCCCGCGUCCACUCAUCACGUUGCCCAUUGAAUCCGUGCCCCGCCUUUAGUGCACCUAUCAGCGGUACACUCGAAGUAGGGCACGCAACGGUCACGGGCGCAACCUGAGCGAACCGUCACCUCUACCGCCGCAUGAGUAGCGAGAGAGGGAAUCGAGGCAUGGUCUGACCGACCCCCCGAUUUUCGCGCCUUAAACAUCCUCAUCAUCAGCGUGGUCAGUGGCGGCCAAACCGUUGCUGUGGUUGACACGCCAACUUGGCCACUCGACAACAUUCCCUUAGAUUCCCUGCCGGGCCCACAACCCCAGCUUGAGAAGUCGUGAGGCAACACGUCAGACCGACCUCAGGAGGCCGAUGUCCGAUAUGGUGCCGGGGGCUAAUGUCGGAGAUAUGGGCCCGGGGGCAUGCGAAGUAAGGGGAAGUUACCUUCCCAUCCAGCCGCGUGGCUCUACAGCCUGGCCCUACUCCCGCACCUCGCGAGUCACAGAAGCGGCCGUGGGGCCUCGGGGUGCCACGUCGUGCCCCUCGGGCUCUCCCGCUACCUCGCCCCAAGGCCCUCGCCCAGCUGCCAUGUGGCGAGGUGAGUGAGCAGAAAGGGGACCCAGGUUGAACAGCCAUCAAUGCACGGUGCCCCAACUGUCCCUCACCGCGUUUAAUGCGGUAAGGGCAGAUGUGCGAUGCUGCCUAGCUGACCCACGUCAAUCGGACAUGACCAGUCUGUGACCGGCCUGUUGCCGGUCACGUCCGAUUGAACGGGCGGCCGUGCCCCCACGUCGCCUCUGUAUCCGGCGGAGUGGAGGUAGGUAUGACCCAUCCCAUCGGAGCGUCAUUCGGAGGAGGACCACCACAAGUCUUCACUCAUUUAUGAGGGAAUGACAGGGCUGUCCCCCGUGUUAGGCGGGGGGCGGCGCUGGGUCCCACUCAAGGACGGGCUGCUGCUUAGCUUCCGGGCGAAGGCACGGAUCGUGGCCCGGUCAAGGUAAAGUGGGUCCCCCUCCCAUGGAAGGGUAGGUAGAGGCGGUGCAUGUGGUAUCCCCUUGAACUAUAAAAGGUGGACCUUGCCCACCGAGAAGGGGGACGACUCUCAGAAAACCUGAACUCUAGGAGAAGAAGGGCGAGAGAGCUCUCCGGAGUGAAGGAAUCCUUGUAACACUUAACCAUAAUCCCAAACACAGGAGUAGCGUAUUACGCUCCACAGCGGCCCGAACCUGUAUAAUCCGAUUGUGUGCAAGCUAGUUAGCAGCCUUAGGGGCGGAUACAUGAUUUCUAAGAGGCGAGCUUCUUCCCUCGGCCGAACCCACGAAAGGGGGGUCUCACGACCUCCCGCUAUCGAGGGACUUCCCUCGACACUUGCUGUUGAAUUAACGUUUUGCUUGCAGGUUUUAGAUUGUCUUUGAGUGAUGUGGGUAUUCGACUGCUUCUUCUGGAACUUGAACUUAAUGGAGUAAACCCCUAGUCGGUUUGCUUGUGGAUUGGGUAGACAAGCUUCCGCUGUUCUAUUAUUUAUUUGGCCAGUCAGCCAAUGUAACUAAAGUAGAUGUAGUGUAUAAUCGCUUUCAUCUUAUUUGUGUUUGCUAUGUAUAACCAUGCUUGAGAUGAAAGUGUGAAUCUAGUGCACAUCCUAGAAACUAGAUUCACAUGAGUAUGAGUUAAGAAUAUUUGAGAUGUUAUAGAUCUUUAGCCAUUUUUGUCAAGUCUCCUGAAUGUGUAACACAUCUGGUCGCCGCCUUCGAGUGGUUCGACGGGUACAUCUCAGGCUGAAGUUGACUGGUAGGCUAAAGGCCCAACAAUGUCUCCAAUAUUCCUCUCUCGAGGCGUCGGAUAUUUCAUUAUGCUUGUUUGAUGACUUGAAUUAUUCAUUUCAUCUCUCAAUUAUAAUGGAAGGUCUGGAGAACCUACAAUACUUAUGCACUACUACGUUAGAGUGAUCAACAUUUUGGGUUGGUCCAAAGGAAAUAAUGAAAUAAAGUGCCAAAAAUGGCACAAUAUUCAGAGAAGCAUACUCUAAUGGUAGACAUGGUUGAGUUGAUUUUGGUCAAUUGUGGUAAAACUACACCUUUUAUUUCCACAUACUGUAGAUAGUUACAGAAACAUAUACACCUUUGUUGAAACUGUAGAAAGUAUAAAUACAAAAAUAAUUGAAAUGUGUCUAUUUGGUAUAGGAAAAAGGUAAUCAAAGCAAUGGAUCAAUUUCUAAUUCUACAAAGCAUGUUGAGUAAUAUAGCAUCACCACCUCAGUACAUAAUAGUAUGCGAACAUAAAAUUACCUGGCUUGGUGAUCACAAAAGCAGCAAUGAAGACAUGUAGAAAUGCGUUAAUCCCUUAUAUAUACAAAACCGUGCGAGUCAUUAAAAUUCCACAUCAAUAUUUGGCUAUCCUGUGAGCCAAGGUGAGCCAAGGUCCAGUGCUCACCUUCACUAUGCUCCCUGGAAUGCCUGAAAAUCAAAAUCGGCAUAAACGCUCAAUGAGAUGUCAAAAACAAUUCCCUGCGCAACAAUAAUAUAUUCUAUAAUUUAACUGAAUAAUAGUUUUGUGGUGUACUAAUUGGUGGGAUAGAAUAGAGCAGUGAAUACUGUCUAGCAACACAACUAAAAUGAGCAUACAUAUGGAGGAAAAAUGGACAACAUUUAAUACAUCCCAAAGAAUUACUUGAGGAAAAUGCAAGAAUAUAAAGCAGUGGCAGGUGGAGCGUUACCAAAGAGGACCACUCAGCUAGAAGCCUGAAAGCCUUUAACCUGAAGUAUACAAAACAGGAUAAGAAUUAGCAGUUAAAGCUUCAUGACAAGCAAUAGCAUCAUUGGAAAAAUAAAAGCACCAAAAAACUGAAGCAAUCGAGAGAAACUGUUGGAAGCAUAAAGUGCUCCCUUGUCAUUAUUAAGCGUACAAAAUCAUGAUUUAUCCACUUACCAUAAUAUCCCAAAGUCAAGAGUAAACGUCUUUGUAUGCAAGAAGGUGGUACUCCUGCACAGGCUAGCAAGCUUAACAAUUAAAAUUGCUAAAAACAAAAAAAAAAGCGGUCGAGUGGCACAACCUUACCUUAAUCUUCGCAAUGCUGAUUUGACGACCGACACUGGCAAGCAGCCCAAACGACGCAAGCGCCCAGCCAGGAGCGGCCAGCGCAGAUUACGAUCGAGUGGCACAACCUUACGACAACAUAGCAAAGAAAUUCCAUGGUAAGAGUUUUUAAUUUCAUGAUGGCCUAAUAACGAUAAGCGUUGACGAAGGUAAUGUCAUAGGGAAAAAUGAGAACUAACCUUGUGGUUGCAUAGUUGUAUAUUUUGCACAACCCAUUAGUGUUUCAUGGCUGAUCUUGUUUGCUUUAGGUAAAUUGCCUUCCAGGUUUCGUAAGAUGCAACCUAUUAUGAACCAAUAUGCAUAGUACCUUACAAAAUGAAUACCAAAGUCACUGUGACAUUCAGUAGGAGAGUAAAAAAAAUAGGAUUAUAAUCUUAGAUCAUAUCAUCACUCUGUAGAAAAUGAAGUAAAAGUAAUGCAUAAAGUAUAGGUACAUUGCAUGCAAAUUUUGUACCAAUCUAGUAGUAAACUCCCUUCAUGGUCCACAAAAGAAUUGAACAAUAGCUCUCAGGAGUAGUUUACGGGAAAGAAAAAUAGAAUACUAUACACAAAAGGUCAGGAAAGGCACCGAGGAGACGGGGACUCCAGGUUUAACCAUCUGGUCUUUAUUUUGUGACGUGGCCAACAACCAUCUCAAGUGUGGUAUAGUUACUGUAUCAUCACACCCUACAUUGGUUCGAUUGUAGAAUUGUCAGUAGAUAAAAUGGUAAACACGCCAUCUAAAUCCUCACAACUAAAUCAUUAUAAAUGAUUGUAAGAAAUAAGAAAGAGGGGGAGUAUCCGAGAGAGUUUGAUAUAUUCCAUCAAGAAAACCGCAACAGCAGCCUCUAGCAGGAGUAGAUGAGGGGAGGAUGAGGUGAGGCGGCAGUGCGCACGGCGGUAAAUAGGGUGCGGGGUAGGUCACGACCGGUGGAGGUGGGGAACAGCGGCAAACAUCAAUUCUUUGGCCUCCUGCGUGUCUCCUCCCAUCGCUGCCGAGCUGCUACUACCCCCACCAGUGAGCUCAACACAGCUGACGACCCUGGAUCUACCACAUCGAACCAUCAACUUUGGAUCUGGAUUAGAGAAAGAGGGAAAGUGUACACAAAGAAGGGUGGGUGAGCAGGGCCAUCACCUGUGGAGCUCACCGCUGGGGAACACCGUCCGGCAUCGACACCGCUAGCGCUUGCCCACUACUUCGAUUGACCAGAUCUGCCAGCAAGGAGGCCGUGGCUGCCGGAUUGGGCACCCACGGCCUCCCCUUCGAGCGGGUGUCGGCGGUGGCGUAGCAAGGAGUGAAAAGCAUCCACAGCAGGGAGGAGAGCAGGAGGCAGCCACGGCGGUGCAUCGCACAGGAGAGGGCGAGAGAGAUGAAAGGGGGCGAUGCAGAAAAGCUAACCAUCUUCCCCUCCUCUCCUUGCCCUCCCUGCCCCUCGGGCGAGCUCUCCUCCUCCCUUCUAGCGCUGCCCGCGGCGGUCGCCGGAGGACGGAGGCAGCGAGGUGUCGCAUCCAACCAGUGGUGAACGUGCACCCGCUUGCCAGCCACACGGUCGGCACCACUUCUUAGGACCUAUUUUUGACAGAGGCCAAAAAAAAAAGAAAAAAAAAGAAACUAAUUUGCUUUCUUGUUUGCUGCCGCUUUGCUCUUGCGCUCCCGCCGUCGCUCUUUACUGUAUGACGAUGUCGUCUUCAUCGGGCACCGUUUCUAUUCCUCGUUGUCCGGUUCUUUCUGAUGGUGUCAACUACAGUCAUUGGGCUCAGCACAUGCAUCUUCACAUGCGUGGUCAGCGUCUUUGGGAUAUUUUGUCUGGUGAGCUGCCCUGCCCGCCUUGCCCCAAUGCUCCUCGUAUGCCACACUUUCCGCUCAGUCUUCUGCCGAAGACAAAGCGAAGGCGCAAGAGGCGUACGAUGAUGCUAUGGAAGAUUAUCAAAAUCAGUAUGCUCUGUAUAAGGCUUGGUUAGAUAAGGAUGCUCGUGCUUCUGCUAUUCUUGUGGCUAAUAUGGAGGUUCAUCUCACUGGUGCUGUGGUUACUCUUGCUUCUGCACAUCUUAUGUGGACACACUUGCGAGACCGUUAUGCGCCUACUUGAGAUGCUCUUUAUCUUGCUAUGGUGCGUCAAGAGCAGUCAUUGCAGUAGGGGGAUGCUACAGUUGAUGAGUUCUAUACACAGUUGACUUCUAUCUGGCGUCAGCUUGAUUCCUUGGGACCAGCGAUCUGCCACACUUGUCAGUGUUGCCAGCAUCAGCGUGCUCACAUGGAUCUUCGUCGCAUCUACGACUUUCUCACAUGUCUUUGAUCAGAGUAUGAGUCAACACGUGCCCAGUUGCUUGCUCGACACCCUCGGGUUACCAUGGUGGAGGCUCUUACAGAUAUUCGUUCAGAAGAGAUUCACCUUCGAGAAGCGGGUAUUCUACCGCCUCCCUCUUCAGUGUUAGCCGUUCGUCCUGAAGCCUCUUCGGUUUCUUCGAAGUCGAGUACAACUCCCUCCUUUACUUCGCCGGCACGUACUUCUCCGGUUGUGUCCUCUACUAGCAGCCAUCUUCACUUCACCUAUUGUGAUAAAGAUGGACAUGUGGAGUCCUUUUGCUUUCGGAAGAAGAAGGAUUUACGGCGUGGUCGUUCCUCACAGGUUACUUCGGGUUCUUCUCAGAAGAGUACUGGAAGUUCUUCUCAAAAGAGGACUGGAAGUUCAGAUACACAACGCAUAAACGUACCACAGGAGUAGACAGAGAUUUUUCGGUUUUUUUUUAACCUUUCCAACUUCAGAUCAGAGAAACGAGGAGGGCAGCAGGCAACAACGACCAGGAGCUGGCGGCGCCCCGAUGAGAGGUCGCCUGCAAAAAGGGGCGACGACUUGCGGCCGCAGGCCGAGCCGCAACAAACGACCAGCAGCCGGCGACAAGGAGCACGACAUGCGGCCGUUGGCGGUGGUGCGACGAACGAGCAGCUGCCCUCGACGAUGCGGUGGCCAGCGGCGCCGCGACGUGCAGCAGCCGGCAACGAGGGACGAUGGUCGAGCAGCCGCCCGUGACGAGGGCGGCCAGCAGCGCCGCGACGUGCAGCGGCCAGCGACACGGUUCGGCGAUGAGCUGCAGCAGCCCACAAGGAGGGGCGAUGCCGGCAGUAGGCCUUCACGCAGAAAUCGAUGGUGAUGAGUAGAAUUUGACGAGAAGAAAUGGAGAUGACAUCUUGCUCAGAUCAAUAGGAACAUUGUGUCUUCAAAGUGAAGAAAUACGAUUAUCCUCGACGAAGAUCAAGCAAUGAGAAGUCAUGGGAAAAAAAUUUCUUUGCAAGAUGAGAAGUCUAAUUGGCUCUUGAUACCAUGUUAUGAAUAGUGAUCAUAUUCAUGAGAGGGCAAUGGCCUAAGUAUAUAUACAGGUACAGGAGAAUGCCAAAAGACAAGUACAAGAGAAUGCCAAAAGGCCAAUAGAAAAGCCAUAAAUAUACAUCUAACACCUACGAUCAUCUUUUGUUAAUGCUUUUUAUCUAAGCAAAAUCAUGCACUGGUGUAUAUACAUGUAAUGUUGAACACGGAUAAUGGUGUGCCUGUCAGGAGGUUAGAAGGGUAAGUUCAAUCGAAGUUCACUUCAAUUUGCAACUUUUCCGUCUACUUACCAAUCUGUAAUUUAUCGAUGCGGCACAGCGGCAGCGAAGAGGACCAGAAAAGGAGCAGGGGAAAAGAGGAUCGACACGGACGAAGAAAACCCUAAGCGCUAUGGAGCACGGCGGCAGCGAAGAGAAGUAGCGGAAAAAGGGUCAAUGCGGGAGCAGAAACCAAUCUCGCUGCUCACGGUCACGGGAGGGUAGAAGUGGAAGAAACAUUGGAUCCUUGACACACGUUAGAUUGGAUGGUGCAGAUGGCAUCAAUAAGUAUUGCCAGAACAGUAGAAUAGUAAUAUAGUAGCUGGGGGCAAAAGUUGUAGGAAAAAACAAUAGAUUUUAUAUGAUUUCGUGAGGUCCCCAUGUGUCACGCCCGGAAUUUCUAUGCAAAAUUCCAAACGCUUACAUGUGUGUGAACCCUCGUCCAGGAAUCAGCCGAGGCACACAAUAACAAAUUGAUAAUAGAGUACAAAUAUUACUCUAAUUAAUAAGCGAAUAAAAUGUCAUUACAGAGGUAGAUAGUUCCUCUCAAUCAAUAAAGAUCUAAGCAGCGGAAAAUAAAUAAACGGCGGAGACGGCUCCACUCCACAGGCAGCUUGACCAAGGCUACACCUAAUCCUUCACACCAUCAGCCUCAUUGUAGAACUCUUCCUC
rnacentral:lncRNA from 1 species